GAUGAACGCUGGCGGCGUGCCUAAUACAUGCAAGUCGAGCGAACAGACGAGGAGCUUGCUCCUCUGACGUUAGCGGCGGACGGGUGAGUAACACGUGGAUAACCUACCUAUAAGACUGGGAUAACUUCGGGAAACCGGAGCUAAUACCGGAUAAUAUAUUGAACCGCAUGGUUCAAUAGUGAAAGACGGUUUUGCUGUCACUUAUAGAUGGAUCCGCGCCGCAUUAGCUAGUUGGUAAGGUAACGGCUUACCAAGGCGACGAUGCGUAGCCGACCUGAGAGGGGGAUCGGCCACACUGGAACUGAGACACGGUCCAGACUCCUGCGGGAGGCAGCAGUAGGGAAUCGUCCGCAAUGGGCGAAAGCCUGACGGAGCAACGCCGCGUGAGUGAUGAAGGUCUUCGGAUCGUAAAACUCUGUUAUUAGGGAAGAACAAAUGUGUAAGUAACUAUGCACGUCUUGACGGUACCUAAUCAGAAAGCCACGGCUAACUACGUG
rnacentral:rRNA from 1 species